UACGUAGGGGUCGAGCGUUGUCCGGAGUUACUGGGCGUAAAGCGCGUGCAGGUGGCUCAUUACGCCCGGCGUGAAAGCCCCCGGCUCAACCGGGGAGGGUCGUCGGGGACGGGUGAGCUUGAGGGUAGCAGGGGCUGGUAGAAUUCCCGGUGUAGUGGUGAAAUGCGUAGAGAUCGGGAGGAAUACCCGUGGCGAAGGCGGCCAGCUGGGCUACACCUGACACUGAGACGCGAAGGCGUGGGGAGCGAACCGG
rnacentral:rRNA from 1 species